rnacentral:rRNA from 1 species
GGAGCUUGCUCCCUAUGAAAGUGGCGCACGGGUGCGUAACGCGUAUGCAAUCUACCUUAAUCAGGGGGAUAGCCCGGAGAAAUCCGGAUUAAUACCGCAUAAUAUUAUUGAAUGGCAUCAUUUAAUAAUCAAACAUUUAUGGGAUUAAGAUGAGCAUGCGUGACAUUAGUUAGUUGGUGAGGUAACGGCUCACCAAGACUACGAUGUCUAGGGGAUCUGAGAGGAUGACCCCCCACACUGGUACUGAGACACGGACCAGACUCCUACGGGAGGCAGCAGUAAGGAAUAUUGGUCAAUGGGCGCAAGCCUGAACCAGCCAUGCCGCGUGCAGGAAGACGGCCCUACGGGUUGUAAACUGCUUUUAUUCGGGAAUAAACCCUUCUACGUGUAGGAGGCUGAAUGUACCGAAGGAAUAAGGAUCGGCUAACUCCGUGCCAGCAGCCGCGGUAAUACGGAGGAUCCAAGCGUUAUCCGGAUUUAUUGGGUUUAAAGGGUGCGUAGGCGGCUUAUUAAGUCAGGGGUGAAAGACGGUGGCUCAACCAUCGCAGUGCCUUUGAUACUGAUGAGCUUGAAUACACUUGAGGUAAGCGGAAUGUGACAAGUAGCGGUGAAAUGCAUAGAUAUGUCACAGAACACCAAUUGCGAAGGCAGCUUACUAAGGUGUUAUUGACGCUGAGGCACGAAAGCGUGGGGAUCAAACAGGAUUAGAUACCCUGAAGUCCACGCCCUAAACGAUGAAUACUCGAUGUUAGCGAUAUACCGUUAGCGUC